GGAAAGACCCCAUGGAGCUUUACUGUAGCUUAAUACUGGAGUUCGGUAAUUCAUGUACAGGAUAGGUGGGAGACUAUGAAGCAUGGACGCCAGUCUGUGUGGAGUCAUCCUUGGGAUACCACCCUUGUAGUACUGGGAUCCUAACCAUAGGCCUUGAAUCAGGUCUUGGAACACCGUCAGGUGGGCAGUUUGACUGGGGCGGUCGCCUCCUAAAGUGUAACGGAGGC
rnacentral:rRNA from 1 species